GACGAACGCUGGCGGCGUGCUUAACACAUGCAAGUCGAACGGAAAGGCCCUGCUUUUGUGGGGUGCUCGAGUGGCGAACGGGUGAGUAACACGUGAGUAACCUGCCCUUGACUUUGGGAUAACUUCAGGAAACUGGGGCUAAUACCGGAUAGGAGCUCCUGCUGCAUGGUGGGGGUUGGAAAGUUUCGGCGGUUGGGGAUGGACUCGCGGCUUAUCAGCUUGUUGAUGGGGUAGUGGCUUACCAAGGCUUUGACGGGUAGCCGGCCUGAGAGGGUGACCGGCCACAUUGGGACUGAGAUACGGCCCAGACUCCUACGGGAGGCAGCAGUGGGGAAUAUUGCACCAUGGGCGGAAGCCUGAUGCAGCAACGCCGCGUGCGGGAUGACGGCCUUCGGGUUGUAACCCGCUUUCGCCUGUGACGAAGCGUGAGUGACGGUAAUGGGUAAAGAAGCACCGGCUAACUACGUG
rnacentral:rRNA from 1 species